rnacentral:rRNA from 1 species
GACGAACGCUGGCGGCGUGCUUAACACAUGCAAGUCGAACGGUGAAGCGCCUUCCUUUUUGGUGGGUGUGGAUGAGUGGCGAACGGGUGAGUAACACGUGAGUAACCUGCCCCCUUCUUCUGGAUAACCGCAUGAAAGUGUGGCUAAUACGGGAUAUUCUGGGUCUGUCGCAUGAUGGGUCUGGGAAAGAUAUUGUUUCGGUGGGGGAUGGGCUCGCGGCCUAUCAGCUUGUUGGUGGGGUGAUGGCCUACCAAGGCGGUGACGGGUAGCCGGCCGGAGAGGGGGGGCGGCCCCAGUGGGCUGGAGACCCCGCCGCCCCCCUGGCGGGGGCCGGGGGGGGGGAUUAUCGCACGUGGGGCGAGGCCUGUUGGCCGCCCGCCCGGGGGGGGGAGGGCGCCCUCUGGUUUGUGACCCUCUUCGGCCGGUGAAGCAGGCCCCCUUUUUUUUUGGGUGGUUUGGGGUUGGCUGGAAAGAAGGCCCCCCCUACUCCCGUC